GACGAACGCUGGCGGCGUGCCUAAUACAUGCAAGUCGAGCGAUUCUGCCUUGAAGAUCGGAGUGCUUGCACUCUGUGAAACAAGAUACAGGCUAGCGGCGGACGUGUGAGUAACACGUGGGUAACCUGCCCAAGAGAUCGGGAUAACACCUGGAAACAGAUGCUAAUACCGGAUAACAACAGAUGAUGCCUAUCAACUGUUUAAAAGAUGGUUCUGCUAUCACUCUUGGAUGGACCUGCGGUGCAUUAGCUAGUUGGUAGGGUAACGGCCUACCAAGGCGAUGAUGCAUAGCCGAGUUGAGAGACUGAUCGGCCACAUUGGGAAUGAGACACGGCCCAAACUCCUACGGGAGGCAGCAGUAGGGAAUCUUCCACAAUGGACGCAAGUCUGAUGGAGCAACGCCGCGUGAGUGAAGAAGGGUUUCGGCUCGUAAAGCUCUGUUGUUGGUGAAGAAGGAAAGGGGUAGUAACUGACAUUUGUUUGACGGUAAUCAAUUAGAAAGUCACGGCUAACUACGUG
rnacentral:rRNA from 1 species